GUAGGUGGCAAGCGUUGUCCGGAAUUAUUGGGCGUAAAGCGCGCGCAGGCGGCUCUUUAAGUCUGAUGUGAAAGCCCACGGCUCAACCGUGGAGGGUCAUUGGAAACUGGAGAACUUGAGUACAGAAGAGGAAAGCGGAAUUCCACGUGUAGCGGUGAAAUGCGUAGAGAUGUGGAGGAACACCAGUGGCGAAGGCGGCUUUCUGGUCUGUAACUGACGCUGAGGCGCGAAAGCGUGGGGGAGCAAACAGGAUUAGAUACCCUGGUAGUCCACGCCGUAAACGAUGAGUGCUAAGUGUUAGGGGGUUUCCGCCCUUAGUGCUGCAGUUAACGCAUUAAGCACUCCGCCUGGGAGUACGGCCGCAAGGCUG
rnacentral:rRNA from 1 species